rnacentral:rRNA from 1 species
GACGAACGCUGGCGGCGUGCCUAACACAUGCAAGUCGAGCGAGAGACUUCGGUCUCUAGCGGCGGACGGGUGAGUAACACGUGGGUAACCUGCCUCAUAGUGGGGGAUAGCCUUCCGAAAGGAAGAUUAAUACCGCAUAUACUCUCGAUACCACAUGGUAUUUAGAGGAAAGGAGCAAUCCGCUAUGAGAUGGACCCGCGGCGCAUUAGCUAGUUGGUGAGGUAACGGCUCACCAAGGCGACGAUGCGUAGCCGACCUGAGAGGGUGAUCGGCCACAUUGGGACUGAGACACGGCCCAGACUCCUACGGGAGGCAGCAGUGGGGAAUAUUGCACAAUGGGGGAAACCCUGAUGCAGCAACGCCGCGUGAGUGAUGACGGUCUUCGGAUUGUAAAACUCUGUCUUCAGGGACGAUAAUGACGGUACCUGAGGAGGAAGCCACGGCUAACUACGUGCCAGCCGCCGCCGUAAUAC